GGAGCCGGGGCGCAUCCGGGCGAUGCGUGAGGGGCCCGCGGGUGGAGGAACAAGACGUGCGUUUUAGGGUGCCUGGGAGCCGUGGUUGUGCCCGCUAGGACACCGAGCCCUGAAUGCCAAUUCUUCAAUGGUUAUGCAGCUGGAAAGGCAUGGGAUUUCACUUUCGCUUCUUUGAGAAAAUUCACAGGGAAAAGAAACAGAAGAAGGAAGAAAUGAAGAGAAGUAUUUCCUGUCUUGCCAAGUAGACAUUCGAUGAUGUUGUGUGUCGGAGAUUGCUGUAUUUAGACGGAGGGAGAGAACAUUGCUUCCCUGAAAUACUGACAUAGGGGAGAUGGGCAGGAGCCUGCAGUAGAAAGCUUUAUUCUACAAGGAUGCUGGUUUCCUGAUGAGGCUGUUAGAAGGCAGAACACACUAUCAGGCUGUGGAUAAGGGUCAUGAUAAAGCUGUGCUUGUACCCGUGAUCACUUUCACUUCUUCCUUCUGAACUCUGACGAAAACUCAAAGCUCGGGACAGGUGCCACAGAUAAAUCCUUUGGCUUGUCCAGAAAACAAUAUGAUCAAAGAAUUUGAGACCUGGGAGGUAACUUGAGACUCAUUUCCUCUACUUCUCUUCUGCAGAAAAAUCAAUGCAAACACUGAGAGGUAAGGAGGUCUGCCCAAGACACUGCUGUCAAGGGGAUUGUAGAGCAAACAUCUAGUAUUCCAGACGCAUGCUGCUUCCACCUUCUCACCUGCAGGCAAGUAUAACUUCUAUAAACAGAACAGGAAACAAGAUAAGGAAUGUAUUAAAGAAAUGCCCUACUUGGUAGAAACAUUUUUGCAAAGUUAGAUCUAU